rnacentral:miRNA from 1 species
UUGGAGGGGUUGGUUUU